AUGUCUGGGAAACUGCCUGAUGGAGGGGGAGUAACUACUGGAAACGGUAGCUAAUACCGCAUAACGUCGCAAGACCAAAGAGGGGGACCUUCGGGCCUCUUGCCAUCGGAUGUGCCCAGAUGGGAUUAGCUAGUAGGUGGGGUAACGGCUCACCUAGGCGACGAUCCCUAGCUGGUCUGAGAGGAUGACCAGCCACACUGGAACUGAGACACGGUCCAGACUCCUACGGGAGGCAGGCAUG
rnacentral:rRNA from 1 species